GACGGUGUUCUAGUUCCAGCUACCCAGGGACAUGGAUGGAGAAAUGAAAUCUCUUUGACUCUUCACUUUUAAGAUGGAUCUAUCAGGAUGUGUUUUGCUGCAAGCGACAAGAACCCCAACUCAAUGCAUCAUAAACAUGAAGCUUAAGUAGCACAGACCUACCUCAAGGGGGAUGAGUGGAAAGAACACUUAGUUGGAGGCAUAAGGUCACCCUACACCUUGCUGGACACUUCAUUAUUAUAUGCGAGUAGGGAGGCAAUUUUGAUGCAGACAUUUAAGUAGAGAGAUAUGAAUCUCUGAAGCACCGUGGCAAACUCAAGAGUAAAGAAUGUGGUUUGGAAACCAUUGCAUUGAGAGCAUUUCCAGAGAUUUCAGAUCGCCAGCAACAGCAGCAGCAUUUUGAGAGUAAAGUCACCAAAGUUGCACAUGCUUCAUUUCCACAGGAAUCCAGAUGUGGGACUCUUAUGGUCUGAUUGCCGAGCAGGGGGAUCAGGAGCAUGGAUCGUGUGUCCUGCAGAAAGACAAUGCCGGCAUUCAAAAAUGUUCACUACGGAAAUAUUUUUGAUGUUGAUCCUGAGCACUUCAUCGGGCUCCUCUG